AUACGUAGGGCGCGAGCGUUGUCCGGAAUUACUGGGUGUAAAGGGUGCGUAGGCGGGACGACAAGUCAGAUGUGAAAUACCGGGGCUCAACCCCGGGGCUGCAUUUGAAACUGUCGGUCUUGAGUGAGGUAGAGGUAAGCGGAAUUCCUAGUGUAGCGGUGAAAUGCGUAGAUAUUAGGAGGAACAUCGGUGGCGAAGGCGGCUUACUGGGGCUUUUGUGACGCUUAGGCACGAAAGCGUGGGGAGCAAACAGGAGUAGAUACCCUGGUCGUCCACGUUGUGAACUAUGAUGACUAGGUGUGGUGGGACUGAACCCUUCCGUGUCGCAGUUAACACAAUAAGUCAUCCCCCUGGGGAGUACGGCCGCAAGGUUGAAACUCAAAUGAAUUGACGGGG
rnacentral:rRNA from 1 species